UACGUAGGGGGCAAGCGUUAUCCGGAUUUACUGGGUGUAAAGGGAGCGUAGACGGCAGAGCAAGUCUGAAGUGAAAGCCCGGGGCCCAACCCCGGGACUGCUCUGGAAACUGCGGCGCUGGAGUACGGGAGGGGCAGGCGGAAUUCCUGGUGUAGCGGCGAAAUGCGUAGAUAUCAGGAGGAACACCGGCGGCGAAGGCGGCCUGCUGGACCGUGACUGACGUUGAGGCUCGAGAGCGUGGGGAGCAAACAGG
rnacentral:rRNA from 1 species